rnacentral:lncRNA from 1 species
CGAAACCAAGAGAGUUGGAGGUAAGGGGAUAUAUGUGCGGCCCACAUAGACAGGCAACAUGCAAUCAUGCAGAAGGAAGGCAGUCACGCGUCAUACAGUCAAGCAAAGUACAGGAUAUAUCACUCAUGUCCACACAAAAAGCUACGACUAUCAGGAUGAAUAGCGAUAUGAACAUCAUGCUCAAAAGACGAUCAAGAUAAUAUGCCAGUCAGAGAAAACAACAUAGCCAGCUGAGUGAUGUACAGCGGUGAGUGUAUGCAUGUGAAGUGAUCAGAAUAAUCAUGGCAAAAUCAGGAUCAAUGUGCUA